AGGACGAACGCUGGCGGCGUGCCUAAUACAUGCAAGUCGAACGGUCUUUCUAUGGAAGCUUGCUUCCACUGAGAAGAUAGUGGCGAACGGGUGAGUAACACGUGGGUAACCUGCCCAUAAGAGGGGGGAUAACAUCCGGAAACGGGUGCUAAUACCGCAUAGUUUUCUUGAUCGCAUGAUCGGGAAAGGAAAGACGGCCUUUGUGCUGUCGCUUAUGGAUGGACCCGCGGCGUAUUAGUUAGUUGGUGAGGUAACGGCUCACCAAGACGAUGAUACGUAGCCGACCUGAGAGGGUGAUCGGCCACAUUGGGACUGAGACACGGCCCAAACUCCUACGGGAGGCAGCAGUAGGGAAUCUUCCGCAAUGGACGAAAGUCUGACGGAGCAACGCCGCGUGAGUGAAGAAAAGGUUUUCGGAUCGUAAAACUCUGUUGUCAGAGAAGAACAAGUUGGAGAGUAACUGCUCCAGCCUUGACGGUAUCUGACCAGAAAGCCACGGCUAACUACGUGCCAGCCGCGGC
rnacentral:rRNA from 1 species